rnacentral:rRNA from 1 species
UACAUGGGGUGCAAACGUUGUUCGGAUUCAUUGGGCGUAAAGGGUGCGUAGGUGGCGCCGUAAGUCAGGUGUGAAAUUUCGGAGCUUAACUCCGAAACUGCAUUUGAUACUGCGGUGCUUGAGGACUGGAGAGGAGACUGGAAUUCCUGGUGUAGCGGUGAAAUGCGCAGAUAUCAGGAGGAACACCGAUGGCGAAGGCAGGUCUCUGGGCCGAUACUGACGCUGAGGAGCGAAAGCGUGGGGGAGCGAACAGG